ACGCUAUGUUAUCUAAUACAUUUUCGGAAAACAUCAUGUAACAUUAUCAUAAUUUAGAAGAUUAUAGCCUAUGCAGGCUAAAUGUUAAAAUUUUCAGUUUUUAUAUAUCAUUAUAAAAACGGACACUUAAUAACGAAAAGUAUAUUAAAGAUAGCCUAUUGUAUUUUCCCCCUAAAUUGACGAUGCAUUACCGCAAAAUACUCUUGGAAAAUACAUGUUGUUAUUUGACAGACUUUUUUGUGGUGAAUUUUUGAACUUGAGAACGCACACUGUAGAGCCGGGGUAUUCAAUCCUAUUCGAAAAGGGCCGAUGUUGUUGUAGCUUUUUGUUCUUCACCAGAAGUAAGACAUCUGUUUCCACUUACCGAGUUCGAAGACCAUGAUUAGGUAAUUAAUUGAAUCGCAUGUCGUAGUGCUGGGCUAAAACAAAACAUAUGCACCCACGUCGGUCUUUUUCAGAUAAGAUUGGGCAGCCAUGCUAUGGAACAAGUUGGCCUAUAGCUGUGGAUUCCUGCACAUCCAUUACUUUUAAAUUCGUGUAGCAUCAAAAUGCUGACCUGGGAUCUACAUGAGGAUUUUACAUCUUUAUUUUGGAGACAAUUUUUCUUAAUAUGGUGAUUUACAUUUUGACCAAUUAGCGGUGCGUCAGGAAGUGAACUUACUGGCUGAACGGCCACUCUCCUGGAUAAAUGGAUAAACCUGGAUUUGGACCAGUCACCAGCUCUUUUUUUGCACUGACAAAUCACAGCCCGUUCUCUCCCUGUCCUCAUCAGGCUUCAUGCUGGAGGCUGAGGAGAGCCAUUGGUAACGGGGCGCGGGGCCCGAGGCCAGAGGGUGCGGUGAGUCACAGGAUAAAUCGGACUCGACCUCUCUGUGAAACGCUUCCUCCCUCCGUCUCUGCAUGUCAGAGAACGCUCCCUUCUCCAUCCCCGUGAAACGGCUGGACAUCAGCCCGCAAUUCUCAGCCGCUCUCCUCUGCAGCGCAGUCUGGGUUGUGUCCUUUUCCUGAUGAACCCUUUGAAGAGUAGGCUUUUUGGAAGGUUUUUUUUUUUUCUUUCAAAAUUCCAAGUUAGUGUUCUAGAAUGCGAUUGCUUUAGUGACUGCAAUUAGUGACUGUUGCAUCAGCAUUAGAAUGUUCGGUUAAGGACGUUCUAAUCACGUAUUUGUGACAUUAAAGGGUUAAUCAGGAAAUGACACUA